rnacentral:rRNA from 1 species
UAGAGUUUGAUCCUGGCUCAGGAUGAACGCUGGCGGCGUGCCUAAUACAUGCAAGUCGAACGAAUCUCUUUUAGAGAUGAGUGGCGAACGGGUGAGUAAUACAUAGGUAACCUGCCCCUGUGCGGGGGAUAACAGGAGGAAACUCCUGCUAAUACCGCAUAGCCAUGAGCACCGCAUGGAGCUCAUGCCAAAUAUCCUUUCGGGGAUAGCGCAGGGAUGGACCUAUGGCGCAUUAGCUGGUUGGCGGGGCAACGGCCCACCAAGGCAACGAUGCGUAGCCGGCCUGAGAGGGCGGACGGCCACAUUGGGACUGAGACACGGCCCAGACUCCUACGGGAGGCAGCAGUAGGGAAUUUUCGGCAAUGGGGGAAACCCUGACCGAGCAACGCCGCGUGAGCGAAGAAGGCCUUCGGGUCGUAAAGCUCUGUUGUAAAGGAAGAACGGCGCAUACAGGAAAUGGUAUGCGAGUGACGGUACUUUACCAGAAAGCCACGGCUAACUACGUGCCAGCAGCCGCGGUAAUACGUAGGUGGCGAGCGUUAUCCGGAAUCAUUGGGCGUAAAGAGGGAGCAGGCGGCCGCAAGGGUCUGUGGUGAAAGACCGAAGCUAAACUUCGGUAAGCCAUGGAAACCGGGCGGCUAGAGUGCGGAAGAGGAUCGUGGAAUUCCAUGUGUAGCGGUGAAAUGCGUAGAUAUAUGGAGGAACACCAGUGGCGAAGGCGACGGUCUGGGCCGCAACUGACGCUCAUUCCCGAAAGCGUGGGGAGCAAAUAGGAUUAGAUACCCUAGUAGUCCACGCCGUAAACGAUGGUCACUAAGUGUCGGGGGUCAAACCCCGGUGCUGCAGUCAACGCAAUAAGUGACCCGCCUGAGUAGUACGUUCGCAAGAA